UGGAAUACUGUGCAGCCAUAAAAAGAAUGAGUUCAUGUCCUUUUCAGGGACAUGGAUGAAGCUGGAAGCCAUCAUUCUCAGCAAACUCACACAAGAACAGAAAACCAAACACCUCAUGUUCUCACUCAUAAGUGGGAGUUGAACAAUGAGAACACAUGGACACAGGGAGGUGAAUGUCACACACCAGGGCCUGUCGGGGGUUGGGGGGCAAGGGGAGGGAGAGCAUUAGGGUAAAUACCGAAUGCAUGCAGGGCUUAAAACCUAGAUGACGGGUUAAUAGGUACAGCAAACCACCACAGCACAUGUAUACCUAUGUAACAAACCUGCACAUUCUGCACGUGUAUCCCGGAACGUAUAGUUUAAAAAAAAAAAAGAAAAUGGAAUUUUUUUGUCGUUGUUGUUGAGACAGAGUCUCACUCAGUCCCAGGCUGGAGUGUGCAGUGGUGUGAUCUUGGCUCACUGCAACCUCCACCUCCCAGGUUCAAGUGAUUCUUCUGCUUCAGCCUCCUGAGUAGCUGGGAUUACAUGUGCACACCACUAGGCCUGGCUAAUUUCUGUAUUUUUAGCAGAGACGGGGUUUCACCAUGCUGGGCAGGCUGGUCUCGAACUCCUGACCUCAAGUGAUCUGCCUCAGCCUCCCAAAGUGCUGGGAUGACAGGCAUGAGCCACUGCAACUGGCCUAAAAAUAAUUUUUUUUACAGAGGAAUUAAGAACAAAGUUAUCAGCAGGUUCUAAGUCAAGUCAAGGGGCUUUCUGGCAUUCCUUAUGUGAUUGGAGAUACAAAGUGAAAUAAAUAAAGGUUCGUCUUUUUCAGGAGUGACUACCUAGACCAUAACACAGGUACACCAUAGCGAGAGUUGUCUCUGACUAAUUUAAGCUCAACAGGUGCAGGAGGUGCAGGGAAGGUUAUGCCUAUGGGGGAAAGUGUAGGUUGGAGAUGGUAGGGGCUGUGUUCAUCAGGUGGACCAGCAGAACAGGCAACACAGAUGGAAAAGCACAUGCCAAUCCCAAGAGAUACCCCACAGCCAGUUGUGUGGAAGAAAACCACCAGCUAAGAUGCAGACUCAAAGGGGAAGAGGAUGUGAAGGAACAUACCUGGGGGAAGACUGAGCCUCCCAGAGCUCCUUGGGAUUCAUUUCCUGGAGACUUUUUUUUUUUUUUUUUUUUUUGAGAGAGAGUUUUGGUCUUGUUGCCCAAGCUGGAGUGCAGUAGUGUGAUCUCAGCUCACUGCAACCUCCACCUCCCAGGUUCAAGCGAUUCUCCUGCCUCAGCCUCCUGAGUUGCUGUGAUUACAGGAAUGCACCACCACACCUGGCUAAUUUUUUGUAUUUUUAGUAGAGAUGGGGUUUCACCAUUUUGGCCAUGCUGGUCUCGAACUCCUGACCUCAGGUGAUCCGCCCACCUUGGCCUCCCAAAGUGCUGGGAUUACAGGUGUGAGCCCCUGCACCCGGCCGUAUUCCCUGGAGACUUUUAAGCUCUCAGUGACUGCCUCAAAUGUUCAGUAUAUAAUUCUCACCUUCACCUGCCUCAUGGAAGACAAACUCGAGAAAGACUCCCAGUAGGAAGGAACAACAGCAUUCCCUAAGCCGGAAAGCAUCGCUUAAAAUCAUUUUCCCUUGUUCUCUAUUCAAAAUGUAUGCAGCUGCCAGCUUUUCAUCUGAGGCAGCGGCUGAAAAGCAGGAUGUACCUGGAAAUCCUGUCUGUGCACAGCAGCACACAUGAGGUUGGAGGCCGCUCACUCCGCUGCCUCGGGCUUGUGCCGUCUUGAGUUCUAAUGCCCGUGCUCAUUAGGUUGGACCAGCACAGCGUGGGCAGACACCGUGGAAUGACAGGCGUCCCUCCUGCAGCGUUCUGCCUGUCUUUAACAGGUGCUUCCAAAGCUCGUUCCCUAAGGCCAUUAAGCAGCCCUCAGGUGACAGAGACACUUUGACUAAACUGGCCCAAGAAACGUACCCUUCAUUCAUUGUUGGAACUCGAUGCCAACUUAAUUUUGCUUGUAGACCAGCACACAGCUGUGCAGAGCUGUCAAACACAGACACAGUAGAAUGACAUGUUCUCAAGCGUGCGUCUGAACUCAUCUGUAUGGAAAAUGGAAGUCAUAAGACCUCCUUUGCUGUGUUGUUUGAAAGAUCAAAUGCAAAAUAUGUGUGAUUCCUUAUACAACACUCUUGCACAGUGAUGCAUUUGUAAAGCCUAUUUAUUUUUGAUGAACUCUUAAGAAAGCCUUGAAGACAUUCUGUGUGCAUGGUGUCUGCCCUUCUGCCCAGAAAAUACACAUCUGACAUUUUAUUUUCCCCAUCUUCCAGCAAUCUCAUGGUAAAAAGUCAUUGGAAGAUCACACACCAAUAUGGCGCCCACUGCAAACCAAACACGUGAACGUAUAUAAUAAGGUUUGUCUCUUCUCUCUGUUCUGCACGUAGUAAAGCUCUGUCUUAACAUUGAAAAAUCUGGGCAAAUCUCCUGUAGAUUCCAGAAGAAAUACCAAGUCUGAGAUGAAAGCUGUUGCUCCCUGGUGCCACCCUCAAUGCCUUCUUUAUGUCAUUCUGACUUAGAACUUGCUAAUGAGUUUUCCUCUUAAUUUGUCUUUGAAAAAUUACUUUUCACGGUGGUAAAAUAGCAUACCAUAAAAUGUACCAUCUUGACCAUUUUUUAAAGUGUACAGUGGCAUUGAAUACAUUUAUAGAGUUGUGGAACCGUCAACACCAUCCAUCUUCAGAACUCUCUUCAGUUUGCAAAAUGGAAACUUUGGACUCAUUAACAAGCAACCCCCGGUUCGCUCCAGUCCCCAACCUACUGCGGGCGUUUCCCUGCACAAGCUCUCUCUCUGCCUGCUGCCAUCCAUGAAAGACAUGACGUGUUCCUCCUUGCCUUCCACCAUGAUUGUGUGCCUUGGAACUGUAAGUCCAUUAAGCCUGUCUUUCUUUUGUAAACUGCCCAGCCUGUGGUAUGUCUUUAUAAGCUGCAUGAAAACAGACUAAUACCGGGGCUCUCCGUAUUCGCCUGGUACCUGGCACUGGGGACCUUAGGGCAAGUGGAGAGUGGCCAUGGGAUGCGAGACUCCCACACAGAAUGUUGUUGGGGUGUGGAAUCUAGAUUGAUUGUUUUGCAUAUGAAAGACAUGCUCAUAGAGGAGUUGUUCAUGUUCUCCAGAAAUUGCCUAACCCUGAGAUGGUCAGUUUCUCUAGAGGCAGCAAGACCCCCUAGUGUCAAAGCAUCACAUACAGAAAUCAGGAAAUGCAAUAAUGAUAGGAACAUUCCCCUGCCAAAGGACCCUUACACAGUCUUUAGCUGCUUUCAGAGAGAUGCUUGGUGGAGGGGGAGGGGGUCCUCAGCCCUACCAAACUGUGGAAGAAUGCAGUCUUCUCAAAAUACAUGGACUUGUGCUUCUAAAGCGUAGCUCUAAUGCAUAGUGAGUCUUGCUGUAUUAGUCCGUUUGGAUGCUGCUGAUAAUGACAUACCUGGGUAUGUCUUCCAAUUCUGUAAAUCUGCCAUGACUACAAAUCCCCAUGUCUCGUUUCCUAGCUGUUUUUAAAGAAAACUAGAGCCACAAAACACACAAAGCAAUGGAAGCUGUGCUGUUCUCCUUUACUUUCAUAAAUGCCUAUUUCCACUCAGGAGAAGACGUACCUGAUAAAGAUAUACUUGGGAGACUGGGUAAUUCGUACAGAAAUAGAGGUUUAAUGGACACACAUGCCAUGUGGCUAGGGAGGCCUCACAAUCGUGGCAGAAGGCAAGGAGGAGCAAGUCACAUCUUACAUGGAUGACGGCAGGCAAAGAGAGAGCUUCUGCAGGGAAAUGCCCUCUUAUAAAACCAUCAGAUCUCAUGAGACUUAUUCACUGUCAUGAGAACAGCAUUGAAAAGACCUGCCCCCAUGAUUCAAUUACCUCCUCCCACAGGGUCCCUCCCACAACACGUGGGAAUUCAAGAUGAGAUUUGGGUGGGGACACAGCCAAACCAUAUCACUUGCUUUAUCCCUCAUUUUUGGAAACAGCUCAUCAUACACAUAUGGCUUUCCUCAUGCAGCAGAAAUGCCUGGCUUUUAAUGACUGGAUAGUAGGAAAAUGACCUACCUUGACUAUUGACUGGAUUCCUUCCUAGUUAUGUCUGGGGAGAUUUUCGUCAUUCUUGUAUCUUUUUACAACACCCUCAAAAUCUGGAAUUACUUUGGAUGUCUCCAAAUUUCUUUUCUUUUUUUAUUUUCCCCAGAGUUUCGCUCUUCUCUCCCAGGCUACAGUGCAGUGGCAUGAUCUUGGCUCACUGCAGCCUCUGCCUCCCAGGUUCAAGCAAUUCUCCUGCCUCAGCCUCCCAAGUAGCUGGGAUUACAGGCACUCACCAUCACGCCUGGCUAAUUUUUGUAUUUUUAGUAGAGACAGGGUUUCGCCAUGUUGGCCAGGCUGGUCUCAAACUCCUGACCACAGGUGAUCCAGCCACCUUGGUCUCCCAAAGUGCUGAGAUUACAGGCAUGAGCCACCGUGCCCAUCCAGAAGUGUCCAAAUUUCUUAGUGCUUCCUGAGCAAGAGGGUGUCUUCCCUAAUGUGCUUCUCACUUUUAAAGUAGUUUCUUGGAAACGUUACACUUCUGUAAAUCUGCCAUGACUACCACUCCCCGUGUCUUGUUUCCUAGCUGUUUUUAAAGAAAACUAGAGCCACAAAACACACAAAGAAAUGUAAGCUGUGCUGCUCUUUUUUUUUUUUUUUUGAGAUGGAGUCUCACUCUGUCGCCCAGGCUGGAGUGCAGUGGCUCCAUCUUGGCUCACUGCAAGCUCCGCCUCCCGGGUUCACGCCAUUCUCCUGCCUCAGCCUCCCGAGCAGCUGGGACUACAGGUGCCCGCCACCAUGCCCGGCUAAUUUUUUUGUAUUUUUAGUAGAGAUGGGGUUUCACCGUGUUAGCCAGGAUGGUCUCGAUCUCCUGACCUUGUGAUCCGCCUGCCUUGGCCUCCCAAAGUGCUGGGAUGACAGGCGUGAGCCACCGCACCCGGCCUCGUGCUGCUCUUUUUGGCACUCAUAAAUGCCUCAGGCAGAACACUCAGAGAUACCAAAUCCCAGUUCAGUGAAUGUUUCUGGUUGUUAAACACAAUGUCUCUGAUCUAGUAUAGCAACUUUGUUCCAUGGAGAAGAAAACAGAGUUCACAUUUCUGAGCUUCCUGCCUAGGCUGCCUGGCAGGAAUGAGUUGGUCAGCUCUGAGGGUAAUUUCCUGUGCUAAGUAGGGUGGGCUGAAUAAUGAGCCCUAAAGAUAUCAAAGUCUUAAUCCUUAGAGCCUACUAAUCUCUGACCUCACAGGACAACAUGCACUUUGCAGGUGUGGUUAAAUUAAGAAUCCUGACAUGGAGGGAUUACACUGGAUUAUCCAGGGGGACUCCAUAGAAUCAAAAUCGUCCCUUUUUUUUUUUUUUUUAUUGAGACAGAGUCUUGCUCUGUCUCCCAGGCUGGAGUGCGAUGGCACGAUCUCGGCUCACUGCAAACUCCACCUCCCAGGUUAAAGCCAUUCUCCUGCCUCAGCCUCCCUAGUAGCUGGCAUUACAGGCACCUGCCAUCAUGCCUGGGUGAUUUUUGUGUUUUUGUGGAGAUGAGGUUUUACCAUGUUGGCAAGGCUGGUCUUGAACUCCUGACCUCAGGGGAUCUGCCCACCUCAGCCUCCCAAAGUGCUGGGACUACAGGCAUGAGCCACCAUGCCUGGCCUCAAGGGGUCUUCAUAAGAGGAAAGGAGAAGGAGUUUUCACACAGAAGAGGAAAAGAUCAAUGUGAAGAUGGAGACAGAGACGGGAGUGAUGUGGCCACAAGCCCAGGGAUGCCUGGAGCCCCCGGGAGCUGGGAGAGGCAGGGAGGAUCCUCCCGUAGAGCAUCCAGAAGCAACUGGAUAUAAUAGUAAUGCAUUGAGCAGUGGCCCCCAAAAUAUAUGUCCAUGUCCUGACUCCCAGGACCUGUGAAUGCAACCUAAUGUGGAAAUACAAUCUUUGCAGAUGUAAUUAAGUAAAGGAUUUUGAGAUGAGAUCAUCCCAGAUUAAGGUGGGUCCUAUAUCUCAUGACAGGUGUCUUUCUAAAAGACAGAAGAGGAGACAUAGACACAAAGUAGAAGGCCAUGUACUGAGGCAGAGACUGGAGUGAUGUAGCCACAAGCCAAGGGAUGCCUGGAGCCCCCAGGAGCAGUGAGAGGCAGGAAGGAUCCUCCCCUAGAGCCCCCAGACGGAACCAAACACAACUGCAGUGGAUUGAAUGGUGAUCCCCAAAAGAUCUGUCCAUGUCCUAACCCCUAGAACCUGUGAAUAGGACCUCGUUUGGAAAUAGCGUCUUUGCAGAUGUGAUCAAAUUGAGGAUGUUGAGAUGAGAUUAUCCUGGAUUGGGUGGGCCCUAAAUGCAAUGACAGGUGUCCUCCUAAGAGACAGAAGAGGAGAGACAGACACACAGGAGAAGGCCACGUGGAGACGGAGGCAGAGACUGGAGUGAUGUGGCCACAAGCCCAGGGACACCUGGAGGCCCCAGGAGCUGGGAGAGGCAGGAAGGACCCUCCCCUAGAGCCUCUGGAGGGAGCACACAGCCCUGCCCAUGCCUUGAUCUCACGCUUCUGGUCGCCAAGACUUGGAGAGAGUACAUUGCUGCUGUUUAAAGCCACAGAACUUGUAAUCAUUUGUUAAAGUGGACUCAAGAAACAACUACAAUGGCUUCCCACUGGGGUUGAUGUCACCAACAGGCACAGAAGUUGAGCAGCAUGAGAGACUGGUCAAGACAAACCAGAGCCUUGGGGAAGGGAGUGUAGGUGGUGAGUCAGCGUAGGGAGGACAGGCUGUGAAUGUUCCAGCACAGACAUUGCCUCUGCCCAACGUGCCGAGGUGGCCUCUUUACAUCCUCCCUCUCUGAGGUUUAGGGUUCUUACCAACUCUAGCCCACUAAUAACUCCCAUCACUUGAGUGAAUUGUUCGGGGGAAUAAUCUGCUUUUUCUUUUCUUUUCUUUUUUCUUU